rnacentral:rRNA from 1 species
CUGGAGGUAUCAGAAGUGCGAAUGCUGACAUAAGUAACGAUAAAGCGGGUGAAAAGCCCGCUCGCCGGAAGACCAAGGGUUCCUGUCCAACGUUAAUCGGGGCAGGGUGAGUCGACCCCUAAGGCGAGGCCGAAAGGCGUAGUCGAUGGGAAACAGGUUAAUAUUCCUGUACUUGGUGUUACUGCGAAGGGGGGACGGAGAAGGCUAUGUUGGCCGGGCGACGGUUGUCCCGGUUUAAGCGUGUAGGCUGGUUUUCCAGGCAAAUCCGGAAAAUCAAGGCUGAGGCGUGAUGACGAGGCACUACGGUGCUGAAGCAACAAAUGCCCUGCUUCCAGGAAAAGCCUCUAAGCAUCAGGUAACAUCAAAUCGUACCCCAAACCGACACAGGUGGUCAGGUAGAGAAUACCAAGGCGCUUGAGAGAACUCGGGUGAAGGAACUAGGCAAAAUGGUGCCGUAACUUCGGGAGAAGGCACGCUGAUAUGUAGGUGAAGCGACUUGCUCGUGGAGCUGAAAUCAGUCGAAGAUACCAGCUGGCUGCAACUGUUUAUUAAAAACACAGCACUGUGCAAACACGAAAGUGGACGUAU